UCGCCCGCGCUUGCUGCUGGAGGGGAGCGAGGCCCUGGGGAGCAAGCGGCGGGCACGGGGAGGGCGCUGCGAGGAUCCGUGGAACACGUUGGGACUGGGAGCAGGAGCAGGCACAUGUGUGCCACAACUGCAUGUGUGCCCUCAACACACACUCACCUGAGACCGGCAUCGGUGGCGGAGGAGACAGCAGCUGAAAGGUCAGGAACCUAGAGGAGAAGCCACCCUGGAGGGACCUACCGCAGAGGCAUGGCAGACGGUCACUUCCAGAGCCAGGGUUACUCAUGCUACCUCAGUGUCAGCUCCCCAGGUACAGCUAGGGAAUAGGUAUGAGGCCCUGGAAGCCGUGGAGGAGGAGGUAGAAGAGGACGCCUCCAAGGGAACUGAUGCCACUCCAAGCAUAGCACAGGCCAAGAGCUACUGGAACACCAAGAGGAAGAGACACUGGGUCCUUGUCAUUGGCGAUUCCAUCCUGAGAGGAACAGAGGGGCCCAUCUGUCACUCUGACCCCGUGGCACAUGAGUUUUGUUGCCUGCCUGGAGCUCGGAUUCAGGACAUUACGGAGAUGAUCCCGGACCUCAUCCAACCCUCUGAUCAUUACCCCAUGCUCCUCAUCCAUGUGGGAACGAAUGACGUGGCCAGGGGCAACCAGGACCACAUCAUGAGUGACUACAAGGCUUUAGGGGUAAAGCUCAAGGAGACAGGGGCACAGGUGGUUUUUUCUUCUAUCC